UAUGGAAGGUGCAGUGAUCCAUGGAAUUUGCAAACUGCUGACAAUGAGACAGGCGAGUGUUACUGAGGCGACGGAGUCAUUCCUGCAUGUUAUUAUGACACGGUUACACAAGGCAUCAGGUACUGCAAAUCUGCUACGCCAGGAAGUGUGCCAGCUGAAGGCAUGCAAGGGUGCUGAUAUUUCGCAAGCAUGGCAACAAAUGCUGUCCGUCAUCGCAACAGCUAUUCCCGAAGUGAAAAUCAAUUGUGAAGAUUUGGAAGUUACAUCUGCAGUGCUAGCGAAUCUGAUAAGCUACCUGCAUGCCACGGCUGCCGCUGCUAUCAGGAAAGCGUCAAUAGCACCAUCCAAAGCUGCUGAAGCCAUCCCCGAACCGGUGAUUGACAAUUUGUCUCACCUUGCUGAAAAGUACCAUGGUGGUUGGUGCUUGGUGGCCGUGCGGCGUGAGCUGGAAGGAGCAAGGUGUUGCAACGACAACUUGCUGCAGCUUAUACCUUUAUUUGGCAAGGAUGCCGUGACAAGCCUUCAGCCUUGUUUGGAGAAUUCAGGUGGCCCGGCGUGGCUCGGAAGCUCUGUAUAAGACACCAUACGUCACAGAUAAAAACAACUGAACCAGUGAUAUGUGAAUUUUGCGCUUGUGUGUGUGUGUGUGUGUGUGUGUGUGUGUGUGUGUGUGUGUGUGUGUGUGCUUCUGUGAUAAGUGGUAUAAGCAGUCCACAGGGUAUUCACCUUGAGUGCAUUCGCCGAUAGUGUGACUUUCGUCGCACAGAACCUUCUUCAGUUGGUCAGGUGACUCGGCGUGGCUCGGAAGCUCUGUAUAAGACAAAAUACGACACAGAUAAAAACAACUGAACCAGUGA